GAUGAAGAACGUAGCAAAAUGCGAUACUUGGUGUGAAUUGCAGAAUCCCGUGAACCAUCGAGUUUUUGAACGCAAGUUGCGCCCGAAGCCUUUUGGCCGAGGGCACGUCUGCCUGGGCGUCACGCAUCGCGUCGCCCCCCACAACUCUCCGUAAAGGGAACUUGUGUUUUGGGGGCGGAUAUUGGUCUCCCGUGCUCAUGGCGUGGUUGGCCGAAAUAGGAGUCCCUCCGGUGGACGCACGAACUAGUGGUGGUCGUAAAAACCCUCGUCUUUUGUUGCGUGCCGUUAGUCGCGAGGGAAACGCUUUAAAAACCCAAAUGUGUCGUCUCUUGACGGCGCUUCGACCGCGACCCCAGGUCAGGCGGGACUACCCGCUGAGUUUAAGCAUAUCAAUAAGCGGAGGA
rnacentral:misc_RNA from 1 species